rnacentral:rRNA from 1 species
UACGUAGGGGGCGAGCGUUGUCCGGAAUCAUUGGGCGUAAAGAGCGUGUAGGCGGCUUGGCAAGUCUGACGUGAAAGCCCGCGGCUCAACCGCAGAUUGUCGUUGGAAACUGCCUCGCUAGAGUCCGGAAGAGGAGAGCGGAAUUCCUGGUGUAGCGGUGGAAUGCGCAGAUAUCAGGAAGAACACCCGUGGCGAAGGCGGCUCUCUGGGCCGGUACUGACGCUGAGACGCGAAAGCGUGGGGAGCAAACAGG